UACGUAGGCAGCGAGCGUUGUUCGGAAUUACUGGGCGUAAAGAGUGUGUAGGCGGUGCUCCCCGUCUGUUGUGAAAUCUCCCGGCUUAACUGGGAGGGUGCAGCGGAAACUAGAGUGCUAGAGGGUGGGAGAGGUAAGCGGAAUUCCUGGUGUAGCGGUGAAAUGCGUAGAUAUCAGGAGGAACACCGGUGGCGAAGGCGGAUCUCUGGGCCGAUACUGACGCUGAGGAGCGAAAGCGUGGGGAGCGAACAGG
rnacentral:rRNA from 1 species